rnacentral:rRNA from 2 species
CCUGGCGGCACUAGCGCGGUGGUCCCACCUGACCCCAUGCCGAACUCAGAAGUGAAACGCCGUAGCGCCGAUGGUAGUGUGGGGUCUCCCCAUGUGAGAG